CGAAAAAGAAGAAGAAAAAC
rnacentral:sRNA from 1 species